rnacentral:rRNA from 1 species
AGAGUUUGAUCCUGGCUCAGGAUGAACGCUGGCGGCGUGCUUAACACAUGCAAGUCGAGCGAUGAAGUUUCUUUCGGGAAACGGAUUAGCGGCGGACGGGUGAGUAACACGUGGGUAACCUGCCUCAUAGAGUGGAAUAGCCUUCCGAAAGGAAGAUUAAUACCGCAUAACGUUGAAAGAUGGCAUCAUCAUUUAACCAAAGGAGCAAUCCGCUAUGAGAUGGACCCGCGGCGCAUUAGCUAGUUGGUGGGGUAACGGCCUACCAAGGCGACGAUGCGUAGCCGACCUGAGAGGGUGAUCGGCCACAUUGGGACUGAGACACGGCCCAAACUCCUACGGGAGGCAGCAGUGGGGAAUAUUGCACAAUGGGGGAAACCCUGAUGCAGCGACGCCGCGUGAGUGAUGACGGCCUUCGGGUUGUAAAGCUCUGUCUUUGGGGACGAUAAUGACGGUACCCAAGGAGGAAGCCACGGCUAACUACGUGCCAGCAGCCGCGGUAAUACGGAGGGUGCAAGCGUUAAUCGGAAUUACUGGGCGUAAAGCGCACGCAGGCGGUCUGUCAAGUCGGAUGUGAAAUCCCCGGGCUCAACCUGGGAACUGCAUUCGAAACUGGCAGGCUAGAGUCUUGUAGAGGGGGGUAGAAUUCCAGGUGUAGCGGUGAAAUGCGUAGAGAUCUGGAGGAAUACCGGUGGCGAAGGCGGCCCCCUGGACAAAGACUGACGCUCAGGCGCGAAAGCCAGGGGAGCGAACGGGAUUAGAUACCCCGGUAGUCCUGGCCGUAAACGAUGUCGACUUGGAGGUUGUGCCCUUGAGGCGUGGCUUCCGGAGCUAACGCGUUAAGUCGACCGCCUGGGGAGUACGGCCGCAAGGUUAAAACUCAAAUGAAUUGACGGGGGCCCGCACAAGCGGUGGAGCAUGUGGUUUAAUUCGAUGCAACGCGAAGAACCUUACCUGGUCUUGACAUCCACGGAAGUUUUCAGAGAUGAGAAUGUGCCUUCGGGAACCGUGAGACAGGUGCUGCAUGGCUGUCGUCAGCUCGUGUUGUGAAAUGUUGGGUUAAGUCCCGCAACGAGCGCAACCCUUAUCCUUUGUUGCCAGCGGUCCGGCCGGGAACUCAAAGGUGACUGCCAGUGAUAAACUGGAGGAAGGUGGGGAUGACGUCAAGUCAUCAUGGCCCUUACGACCAGGGCUACACACGUGCUACAAUGGGUGGUACAGAGGGCAGCCAAGCCGUGAGGUGGAGCAAAUCCCUUAAAGCCAUUCUCAGUUCGGAUUGUAGGCUGAAACUCGCCUACAUGAAGCUGGAGUUACUAGUAAUCGCAGAUCAGAAUGCUGCGGUGAAUGCGUUCCCGGGUCUUGCACACACCGCCCGUCA